GCAACAGCCACAAAACCCGCCGCUUCGGGGGCCCGGGGGCCGCACUCGGGAACGGGGCGUCGCCGCUGCAGCCGCUGCCUUGGGAGCCGGUCCACACUGCCGUUAUGAGCUGUCGCACUCACGUGCGUGAAAGUCUGCAGCUUCAUUCCUGAAGCCAGCGAGACCACGAACCCACCGGGAGGAACAAACAACUCCAGACGCGUGGCAUCAAGAGCUGGAACACUCACCACGAAGGUCUGCCGCUUCACUCCUGAGCCAGCGAGACCACGAACCCACCAGAAGGAAGAAACUCCGAACACAUCAGAGCGAACAAAUUCCAGACACGCCGCCUUUAA
rnacentral:antisense_RNA from 1 species